UCCGAAAUUAUGUCUUGGCUGUGAUCCUACACACCACAUCAUUUCUGAAAAUGUUUAUUCAAAUAUCUGACAUAAAAUGGGUUGCUAUUAACUGAACCCUACUAACCGACACUUUAAGAAGACUUCGCUCCAGUUUUUCAGUUUCCCUGUAAGGUGAUCCAGACAGGCUGGGUGCUGGAAAGGGCUUUGGACUCCUAACUUCACUUCUCGUCUGUGCAGUUGACUCAGAAGCAUCACUUCAGUACUGAUUCCGUGAUCUGGAACAUUUUGAAAUCCUACCAGAUGGGGCACAAGUCAUUGAGCAGUGGCAGCUUCUGACUUCUGACUUCAAAGACUUUGUUCACCAGCAGACCCCUUGAUUACCUUUAUUUACAGCAUUUGCAUCUGUCAGUCUUUAAAGUGAUCUAAUAUAUAUUUACCAUGUACUAGCUUAGUACAUAUUAGUUUUUGUUAUUUUAGUUUCACAAAUUCAGUGGUUACCUGUAAUGCUCAAGAUAUACAAGUAAAAAAUCACCUUUA